AACCCUAAACCCGAAAUCCUAAACUCUAAAUCAUAAACCCUAAACUUUAAACCCUAAACCCUAAUGUAAUUACUCACUACUCCCACCACCUCCACUAUCUCCACCAUCUCCACCAUCUCCACCAUCCCCAACUUCUUUAAAGAGAAAGAGAGAGAGAAAGAGAGAGAAAAAGAGAGAGAAAGCUCACCUGAGCUCGUCGCCGGAGCAACCGUGUGCCGUGAUCACGUUGAGCUCGUCACCACCGUUCGCUGCAGCUUAGAAUCGCCGGAAACCGCCAUACAGUUAAGCUUAGUUUCGUCCGUUUAGUAAUUCGCCGAUAACUCUCUAACCGUUGCGAAUCUCGUGCAUCCAAGACCAUCAUCGUGUUCCUCUCGUCGAGACGAAGCCGUAGACACCAACCACGCCUCGAACGGAGCCCGGACGAAGCCGCACGCGCCUCCCGAAGACGCCGCCGGACCACCGUUCUCCGCCGCAGCGCCGCCGCCGUACCACCGUUCUCCACCGCCGCGGCCGCCGCCGUAGCUCCGCCGUCGCCGCCGGUGACCGACACCGGCGACUCGCCAACUCGGCCGAGUUGACCCGGUGAGUCAACUCGGUUGACUCGGUCAACCGGUGGUUUGACCGGUUUAAAUCGAUUUCGAUUCAGUUAGGUUAAACCGGUCGGUUAAAAUCAAUUGAAAAUCGGUUAGGAUAAACCGAAUUAAUUAAUUAAAUAAUUAAUUAAUUAAUUAAUUAAUUAAUUAAUUAAAUAAUUGAUUUUUGACCAGCGGGUUGACUUUUCCGUAAAUAUUCGUUUUAAACCGUUCGAAAGGCGUUCUGACUCAAAAUUUCGAUCUGAUUUCUGAUUUGGAGUCCAUUUGAACAGCUGGAGUUCAUAUAUACCACUUCUCUUCAUUGCUAAGGUGAGACCGACGAGCAGGAGUGAUUUUUCGGACCGGUGCUUUUGGGCUUUUACUACUAUUGGGCUUUUGGGCUUCUAUCGUUUUAUCGCUUUUAUCGUUAUCGGGCCUCUAGGCCUUUGGGCUUUUAUCGUUUAUGUUAUUUCGUAUUUCGGACUCUCGGUUUAUGUCGUACUUUAUGUUUCAGAUUUUAUUUUAUAUUAUGGAAUUCAAGUGUGGAUGUUGACUUUCAAAUAUUUAUAUAUGGAUAUUUCAGAUAUUUGUACUUA